rnacentral:lncRNA from 1 species
AGAAGGAAGGUAUGUACUACCAUGCUCAGUUUAGCUGUUAGUAAUCUCAUAAUUUUUUAUUUUCCAGAUCAACUUCCUCAAAUGAGAAUUAUAUAUUAAACAUUUCAAAAGUUCUCAUUGUUGUGAUAAUACCCACUGUAAUACAGUAAACCCACUGUAAAUACUGUAGACAUGCAGGAGAUGGAAAUAGAAGUUUAAGGCCAGCAUGUAUGACAUCAGACUUUGUUUAAAAAAAAAAAAUCCAAAUAUUGACACCCAGUGAAUAUUUGACUAACUAGCAUAAAAGUAUGCCAUAUUCUGCAGUAUUGUGAUCAACUUGUUCAUCAUUAAAUCCUGCAACAGUACCUUAAUUGAUGUCUUCUCUACCCUCUCCCUUCCACCUUGCCCCAGAUCAGAUUUUUUGUGACUUAAUCCUUGGUGGUUCUUCAUGACUAAUCACUGAUCUCUAAGCCCUCAGUUGUGGUUUCAUUCUGUGCCUUUCUAGCCCUUUGUAGCCCUGUAUUUUCUUGUACUCCAAUUAGACUGAACAGUUAAUGUCAGUUCUCUGGCUCUGGUGUGUGUGUGUGUGUGUGGUCGGGGGCCAGGGGGUGAGGGGUGGGGAUCUCAAUAUGUAGACCAGGCUGGCUGCUAAGAGGUACAGAAGUCCACCUGCCUCUGCUGGGAUUAAAGACUUGGACCAUCAGUCUGUUCUGUUUUGUCUUGUUUAAUAAAAGUUGUGUGCCUCUACAACUUUGGGUGCAUGGCUUAGAUGUGAUAAUCAGAGGAUAACUUUGCAGGGGUCUCCUUCCACUUUCAUGAAAGGAUAAAACUCAGGUCCUUAGGCUUGCAUGUUUGGCCCCAAGCACCAUUACCUGCAAGCUGGCUCAGGCUCCUGGCUUUUAUUUGUGACAAUUGUUGAAAUGUCUGUGUUUUACUUUGAACUGAGUCGUUAAGAUGCAUGCUCCUUUAAGAGUAGCAUGGUCAAUGUUACAUAAUCUUGCUUACCUCCAUUAGUUCGAGAGCUAAUUAUAGAGUAAUAUGAGUAGAUGGGGCAAUGAGAUGAGUUACUUGGUAUGAAAAAUCUGAACUUGAUUUUCCUCAAUUUUAGAUAAGACUUGGUUUUUAGAUCUCAAAGUUUUCAUAAAAUAAAAAACUUGAUAUAGGACAGUUUUUGUUUCGUUGGUUUGCUUUCGAUGGGGGUGCAGUUCUCUGUAACCCUACUGGAACUCAUUUUAUAGACCAAGGCUGGCCUCAAAGAGGUUCACCUACUUCUGCCUUCCAGUUGUGCUGGGAUCAGAGGUAUUUAAGAACAUGUCCAGUAGACUUUUUGUGAGUGUAUGUCUGCUUGUGACAAGGUCUUAAGUAGUUCAGGCUGGCUUUGAACUUGAAAUAUAGCUGGGGAUCAUCCUGAUUCCACCUCCCAAAUGCUAGGAUUAUAGGUAAAUACCAUCCAUUAUGCCCAACAUAAUCCUGGUUUGUUUGUUUGUUUGUUUUGUUUGUUUAAAUAAAAUAAGAUUUGACUGGUCCUGGCUGGCCUGGAACUUGCUAUAUAGAACAGUCUUCUGGCCUUAAAGAGCUGCCUGCCCCUCUUUCAUACUGCUGGGAUUAAGCGCCACACACAGACAUGCACACACAGGAGAGAAAGGGAGUGGGAGGAAGAAUGAUACAUUUCUUGUUUUCUGAGUAUGUAUCUUCCAAGUAAUGCCUUCAAAUACAGAGUUAAAGAUGAUAGGUUUCUAUUCUGUAUUCAAAGAAAUUAUCAAGUAAAUGAAGAGUUGCUGUGCAGGUAUAUCUAGCCUUCUGACAUGUUGACAUCUGCACAUGUGUUGGACCACAUAUAGCUGUCCUAUGAAAUGUGGCCAUGAGAUGCAGGUUGAACACACCUGGUUUAGUGGGUGUACAGUUUGAGUUUUGGAGGUAGACUCUGGUCAUGAUUAAAUGUAGUAUUAACUAAAUUAUAAACUUAAAUGAUAUUAAGGUGGCAGUGUUGUGUAUUUUAAAACAGAAAGUGGGAAAAUUCUGACCUAAAAAGUCUAAAAGUUAGUUACCAUGCUACUUAAUUAGUAAGUAUAGUAUUUUCAGAUUCUUCGUCUUCUUUUUUUUUUUUUUUUUUUUUUUAAAUUCGUGUGGCUGUGUGUGUUGGCACCUAUGAAAUCUAGAAGAGUUUAGAUUCCUUAUAGCUGGAGUUGGUUGUAAGCAGUCUGUAGGUUCUGGGAACUUAACUCUUGUCUUCUGAAAGAACAUUAUGUGUGUGCUCUUAAAUGCAGAGCCAUAUCUUCAGUCUUACAAACAUAUCUUUUAAUUAAAUGAGUAGCCUGAUGUGUGCUAUCAGGGGCCAGAUAAGUAAUUAUCUUAAUACUUUAGAAAGUAUACAGUAAAGUGUGGAAAUGAAGAGAACAUCCCUCCAAAUAUAUUUCUUAGAUUUUUUUAAAUUUCUGAAUAUUAAAAAAUCAUAUUCUUCACAUAUUUGGUGUUAGUUGAGAGUCCGG